UACGAAGGGAGCUAGCGUUGCCCGGAUUGAUUGGGCGUAAAGGGCGCGUAGGCGGUUCGUAAAGUCGGAUGUGAAAUUCCUGGGCUCAACCUGGGGGCUGCGUUUGAUACGUGCGGACUUGAGUGCGGAAGAGGGUCGUGGAAUUCCCAGUGUAGAGGUGAAAUUCGUAGAUAUUGGGAAGAACACCGGUGGCGAAGGCGGCGACCUGGUCCGAUACUGACGCUGAGGCGCGAAAGCGUGGGGAGCAAACAGG
rnacentral:rRNA from 1 species